CCCGAGACGCNUAUUAGGCAGGAGUGGAUGCGUGCUACAAUGGACGGUACAAAGAGCUGCAAGACCGCGAGUGGGAGCUAAUCUCAUAAAACCGUUCUCAGUUCGGAUUGUAGGCUGCAACUCGCCUACAUGAAGCUGGAAUCGCUAGUAAUCGCGGAUCAGCAUGCCGCGGUGAAUACGUUCCCGGGCCUUGUACACACCGCCCGUCACACCACGAGAGUUUGUAACACCCGAAGUCGGUGGGGUAACCUUUUUGGAGCCAGCCGCCUAAGGUGGGACAGAUGAUUGGGGUGAAGUCGUAACAAGGUAGCCGUAUCGGAAGGUGCGGUUGGAUCACCUCCU
rnacentral:rRNA from 1 species